rnacentral:other from 1 species
CAUCACCUGAAAUGUUGGUCAGACAUAAAACCUUAACCUACAGAUUGUAUACGGGAGCUCGGGUAUCAAUGUGGAAAUCGUGCCUUUUAUGGAUGGUGGGUUGAAGCAUUGAUUAGGGCACCCACCUGUGUGAGUGCAGGUGUAAGGUUUAUCUCUGACGGCAUUUUGGGUAAUUG